AGAAUCAACGCUGGCGGCGUGCCUAACACAUGCAAGUCGCACGAGAAAGGGUAGCAAUACCUGAGUAAAGUGGCGCACGGGUGAGUAACACGUGAAUGAUCUACCUCCGAGUGGGGAAUAACUGAGAGAAAUCUUAGCUAAUACCGCAUAACACUUACGAGUCAAAGCAGCAAUGCGCUUGGAGAGGAGUUCGCGGCCGAUUAGUUAGUUGGCGGGGUAAUGGCCCACCAAGACGAUGAUCGGUAUCCGGCCUGAGAGGGCGCACGGACACACUGGAACUGAAACACGGUCCAGACUCCUACGGGAGGCAGCAGUGGGGAAUUUUGCGCAAUGGGGGAAACCCUGACGCAGCAACGCCGCGUGGAGGAUGAAAUAUCUUGGUAUGUAAACUCCUUUCGAUGGGGAAGAUUAUGACGGUACCAUAGAAGAAGCCCGGCUAACUUCGCGCCAGCAGCCGC
rnacentral:rRNA from 1 species